rnacentral:rRNA from 1 species
CCUACGGGAGGCAGCAGUAGGGAAUAUUGCACAAUGGAGGAAACUCUGAUGCAGCGAUGCCACGUGAGUGAAGAAGGCCUUUGGGUUGUAAGGCUCUUUCGUCGGGGAAGAAAAUGACUGUACCCGAAUAAGAAGGUCCGGCUAACUUCGUGCCAGCAGCCGCGGUAAUACGAAGGGACCUAGCGUAGUUCGGAAUUACUGGGCUUAAAGAGUUCGUAGGUGGUUAAAAAAGUUGGUGGUGAAAUCCCAGAGCUUAACUCUGGAACUGCCAUCAAAACUUUUUAGCUAGAGUAUGAUAGAGGAAAGCAGAAUUUCUAGUGUAGAGGUGAAAUUCGUAGAUAUUAGAAAGAAUACCAAUUGCGAAGGCAGCUUUCUGGAUCAUUACUGACGCUGAGGAACGAAAGCAUGGGUAGCGAAGAGGAUUAGAUACCCUCGUAGUCCAUGCCGUAAACGAUGUGUGUUAGACGUUGGAAAUUUAUUUUCAGUGUCGCAGCGAAAGCAUUAAACACACCGCCUGGGGAGUACGACCGCAAGGUUAAAACUCAAAUGAAUUGACGG